rnacentral:rRNA from 1 species
GCGGAGGAAAAGAAACCAACAGGGAUUGCCCUAGUAACGGCGAGUGAAGCGGCAACAGCUCAAAUUUGAAAGCUGGCCUUCGGGUCCGCAUUGUAAUUUGUAGAGGAUGCUUUGGGGAGGCCGCCUGUCUAAGUUCCUUGGAACAGGACGUCAUAGAGGGUGAGAAUCCCGUAUGUGACAGGAAAUGGCACCCUAUGUAAAGCUCCUUCGACGAGUCGAGUUGUUUGGGAAUGCAGCUCUAAAUGGGAGGUAAAUUUCUUCUAAAGCUAAAUAUUGGCGAGAGACCGAUAGCGCACAAGUAGAGUGAUCGAAAGAUGAAAAGCACUUUGGAAAGAGAGUUAAAAAGCACGUGAAAUUGUUGAAAGGGAAGCGCUUGCAAUCAGACUUGUCCAAACCGUUCGGCCGGUCUUCUGACCGGUUUACUCGGUUUGGGCAGGCCAGCAUCAGUUUCGGCGGCCGGAUAAAGGCUCUGGGAAUGUGGCCCCCUCUUCGGUGGGGGUGUUAUAGCCCGGGGUGUAAUACGGCCAGCCGGGACUGAGGUCCGCGCUUCGGCUAGGAUGCUGGCGUAAUGGUUGUAAGCGACCCGU